UACGUAGGGACCAAGCGUUGUUCGGAUUUACUGGGCGUAAAGCGCGUGUAGGCGGUCCGGUAAGUCCGCUGUGAAAGUCGGGGGCUCAACCCUCGAAUGCCGGUGGAUACUGUCGGGCUAGAGUGCGGAAGAGGCGAGUGGAAUUCCUGGUGUAGCGGUGAAAUGCGCAGAUAUCAGGAGGAACACCAAUUGCGAAGGCAGCUCGCUGGGACGUUACUGACGCUGAGACGCGAAAGCGUGGGGAGCAAACAGG
rnacentral:rRNA from 1 species